GAUGAAGAACGUAGCGAAAUGCGAUAAGUAAUGUGAAUUGCAGAAUUCAGUGAAUCAUCGAAUCUUUGAACGCACAUUGCGCCCGCCAGUAUUCUGGCGGGCAUGCCUGUUCGAGCGUCAUUUCAGCCAUCAAGCCCCAGGCUUGUGUUGGGGACCUGCGGCUGCCGCAGGCCCUGAAAACCAGUGGCGGGCUCGCUGUCACACCGGGCGUAGUAGAUUUUAUCUCGCUCAGGCGUGCUGCGGGUUCCGGCCGUUAAAAAGCCUUUUUUACCCAAGGUUGACCUCGGAUCAGGUAGGAAGACCCGCUGAACUUAAGCAUAUCAAUAAGCGGAGGA
rnacentral:misc_RNA from 1 species